GUCCUACGGAGGGCAGCAGUGAGGAAUAUUGGUCAAUGGGCGCGAGCCUGAACCAGCCAAGUCGCGUGAGGGAAGACGGUCCUAUGGAUUGUAAACCUCUUUUGUCGGGGAGCAAAAAGGCCUCGUGAGGUCACAAGUGAGAGUACCCGAAGAAAAGCAUCGGCUAACUCCGUGCCAGCAGCCGCGGUAAUACGGAGGAUGCGAGCGUUAUCCGGAUUUAUUGGGUUUAAAGGGUGCGUAGGCGGAAUGCCAAGUCAGCGGUAAAAUCGCGGGGCUCAACCUCGCUCCGCCGUUGAAACUGGUUU
rnacentral:rRNA from 1 species